CCUCAUUGAAGCUGAUUGGUCAGCCAGAGAGAGAGAUGGAGAGGGAGAUCUGGAGCCUUCAGUAAAUCCUGCAGCCGGUACUCAGGAAGUUCCUGACUCAAUACACUUCCCAAUUGCUGGUUGUCUUGACCAACACCUCAUUGAAGAUGGUUGGUCAGCCAGAGAGACAAAGGGCAGGGAGAUGUGGAGCCUUCAAUAAAUCCUGCACUGAGGUAAUCAGGAAGUUGCUGACUCAAUAGACUUCCCAACUCCUGUGUGUCUCAUCCAUCGCCACAUUGAAGAUGGUUGGUCAGCCAGGGAGACAAAGGGCAGGGAGAUCUGGAACCUUCAAUAAAUCCUGCCGUGAGGUAAGAUCACUCACAGUGCACAGAGCAGGGAGCAAUGGGAGGGCUCCAAACAUCGGCU